rnacentral:lncRNA from 1 species
CCCCCACUAGAUCUUCCAGAUAUUAAAUGGCUUCUUCUGCGUGUUUCUUGGGUUUGUUUGCUCAGAAAACGUUUUUUCUAGUUGUUAAGUCUCCUUCACUGUGUCACGCAGUGACAGCUUCCAUGGAAGUCAAGACAUUUUAUCGAGCGCUUCACGUAUAGGACCCGAAUGUGGAAACUGAGCAGCCCCUGCUAUGACUUAACUUGUGAGAAGUCCUAGUGCGGGCAGUCGUCUGCAUGGAGAAGUCCUAGUGUGGGCAGUCGUCUGCAUGGAGAAGUCCUAGUGCGGGCAGUCAUCUGCAUGGAGAAGUCCUAGUGCGGGCAGUCAUCUGCAUGGAGAAGUCCUAGUGCGGGCAGUCAUCUGCAUGAAUAGUCUAAACUUUAAAUCCAGAACUUUC